CCCUUUAAUGUUUGAUGUUCUAACGUUGACCCGUGAUCCGGGUUGCGGACAGUGUCUGGUGGGUAGUUUGACUGGGGCGGUCUCCUCCUAAAGAGUAACGGAGGAGCACGAAGGUUGGCUAAUCCUGGUCGGACAUCAGGAGGUUAGUGCAAUGGCAUAAGCCAGCUUGACUGCGAGCGUGACGGCGCGAGCAGGUGCGAAAGCAGGUCAUAGUGAUCCGGUGGUUCUGAAUGGAAGGGCCAUCGCUCAACGGAUAAAAGGUACUCCGGGGAUAACAGGCUGAUACCGCCCAAGAGUUCAUAUCGACGGCGGUGUUUGGCACCUCGAUGUCGGCUCAUCACAUCCUGGGGCUGAAGUAGGUCCCAAGGGUAUGGCUGUUCGCCAUUUAAAGUGGUACGCGAGCUGGGUUUAGAACGUCGUGAGACAGUUCGGUCCCUAUCUGCCGUGGGCGCUGGAGAACUGAGGGGGGCUGCUCCUAGUACGAGAGGACCGGAGUGGACGCAUCACUGGUGUUCGGGUUGUCAUGCCAAUGGCACUGCCCGGUAGCUAAAUGCGGAAGAGAUAAGUGCUGAAAGCAUCUAAGCACGAAACUUGCCCCGAGAUGAGUUCUCCCUGACCCUUUAAGGGUCCUGAAGGAACGUUGAAGACGACGACGUUGAUAGGCCGGGUGUGUAAGCGCAGCGAUGCGUUGAGCUAACCGGUACUAAUGAACCGUGAGG
rnacentral:rRNA from 1 species